rnacentral:rRNA from 1 species
AAGCUCGUAGUUGAAUUUCGAAUGUGGCUGGGCGGUCCGCCUCACGGUGUGUACUGUCUGGCUGUGUUCUCUUUCUUGGUGAGCCGGCAUGCCCUUUACUGGGUGUGUUGGGGAACCAGGACGUUUACCUUGAGAAAAUUAGGGUGUUACAAAGCAGGCCUACGCCCGAAUACAUUAGCAUGGCAUAAUAAAAUAGGACGUGCGGUUCUAUUUUGUUGGCUUCUAGAGCCGCAGUAAUGAUUAAUAGGGAUAGUUGGG